rnacentral:rRNA from 1 species
UAGGCGCACGGGUGAGUAACACGUAGGUAAUGUGCCUUUUGGGUGGGGAAUAACUUAGGGAAACUUAAGCUAAUACCGCAUAAUGCGAUAACUUCUUCGGAAGAUUUUGUUAAAGAUUUAUCGCCUGAAGAGCAGCCUGCGGCAGAUUAGCUAGUUGGUAAGGUAACGGCUUACCAAGGCUACGAUCUGUAUCCGACCUGAGAGGGUGGUCGGACACACUGACACUGAAUAACGGGUCAG